AAAUAUUGUGAAACCCUAAUUGAAAACCAUCCAUCUUCCGUUCUCACUCUCUCGAUACCCUCUCCCUGUCUCUGCUCCCUGUGCUCCCUGUGCUCCCUGUGCUCCCUGAAAUGUCAUCGUCCUCCUCCUCUGUUCAUCUCCCUCUCUCCAUUUUAACCCCAAAACUCGACACGCCUAAACCCCAAAACGCCGUCACAGUCCGACUGCCCAUUCACUCCGCUCUCUCUCUCUUUUCUCUCGGCUCCAAUUCUGCCCUAGCCUCUCUUCAAUUCUUGAAAAAAGAAAAAAGAAAAGAAAAAGAUUGUGGCUUGAUAUGUCUCCAAAAUCAAUGUCUCAAUUAAUUAGUAAAUGUCUUUGUCUUGAAUUGAGUGAAUUAAACUUUAGUGUUAAGAUGUACAUAGUAAGGAAGACUUAUCAUCCUAGUUAAAUUAUGGUAAGUUUGAUUGUGAAUGUGGUGGGAUAUAAAUUUAUAUACUAUCGGAGGCAAGAACGAAUUCACUAUUUGUCAGAAUCAGAUGUAAUUAUCUGUUUUCAUAGUUUGUUGCUGUGACGGGAAUGCAGUACAUUUUUGAAUGGCGAAUAUGCAAAGUCGGGUCUAGCAGGAUUAGAGAAAUGGAUAGUUAAUGCAGGGGACGAGGCAGUGGUGGUGGUCUGGUGGGAUGGUGGUGGUUUAAUGUGCUUUUAAUGGUACAAUGGAUUGUUGUGGUAGCAAUAUUUAUUGUUGUUGUUGUUGGGUUUUUGUGGUGGUGCGAAGGGUUAUGGUGGUUUGAAGGUUUAUGUUUUUUUUUUUCUAUUCUUUUGCUUUAGUUCAUAACCGAAGCAAAAAACUAAUUUGCGUCAGUGUUUUACUAUUUGCUUCGGUUAUGAACUGAAGCAAAAGUCUUUUAGCAUCUGUUACUAAGUGAGUUAAAAAUAAAAUUAUUUGCGCCUAUAAUUCUAACGUUAGUUAUACAAACCAAUGUAAGUUCUUUAUAUGCUACUUAAAAAUUGAAGCAAAAAUACAUUUUU